rnacentral:rRNA from 1 species
AGUGAACGCUGGCGGUAGACCUAACACAUGCAAGUCGAACGGCAGCACAGUAAGAGCUUGCUCUUACGGGUGGCGAGUGGCGGACGGGUGAGGAAUACAUCGGAAUCUACUUUUUCGUGGGGGAUAACGUAGGGAAACUUACGCUAAUACCGCAUACGACCUACGGGUGAAAGCAGGGGAUCUUCGGACCUUGCGCGAUUGAAUGAGCCGAUGUCGGAUUAGUAAGUUGGCGGGGUAAAGGCCCACCAAGGCGACGAUCCGUAGAUUGUCUGAGAGAAUGAUCAGCCACACUGGAACUGAGACACGGUCCAGACUCCUACGGGAGGCAGCAGUGGGGAAUCUUGGACAAUGGGCGCAAGCCUGAUCCAGCCAUACCGCGUGGGUGGAGAAGGCCUUCCGGUUGUAAAGCCCUUUUGUUGGGAAAGAAAAGCGGCAGGUUAAUACCCCGCUGUUCUGACGGUACCCAAAGAAUAAGCACCGGCUAACUUCGUG